rnacentral:rRNA from 1 species
AACGAACGCUGGCGGCAGGCUGAACACAUGCAAGUCGAACGAGAUCUUCGGAUCUAGUGGCAGACGGGUGAGGAACACGUGGGAACAUCCCUUUCAGUUCGGAAUAACGUUGGGAAACUAACGCUAAUACCGGAUACGUCCUUCGGGAGAAAGAUUUAUCGCUGAAAGAUUGGCCCGCGUCUGAUUAGCUAGUUGGUGAGGUAAUGGCUCACCAAGGCUACGAUCAGUAGCUGAUCUGAGAGGAUGAUCAGCCACAUUGGGACUGAGACACGGCCCAAACUCCUACGGGAGGCAGCAGUGGGGAAUAUUGGACAAUGGGCGCAAGCCUGAUCCAGCCAUGCCGCGUGAGUGAUGAAGGCCUUCGGGUUGUAAAGCUCUUUUAUCCGGGAAGAUAAUGACUGUACCGGAAGAAUAAGCCCCGGCAAACUUCGUGCAGCAGCCGCCGCAG